ensembl:lncRNA
UAGAAGUCAAUGUGGGAUUUUAAUAUAUAAACAAAAACACUUGACAGAAGUUUGAUACAAUUUUGUAAAGGAAAGCAGAGGAAAACAUUUUCUCAAAUGAAUCUUUUCAAAAUGUCACCACCAUUCCGAAAAGCAAGUGAAGAGGUUUGUGUAAAAGCAGUCCUCCCUAACCAGCUCUGUCCCUGACUCUAAACCCUGACUCUCAACCCUAACGCUAAACCCUCUGAGGGCAGGAAGACUAGACGGUGUAACGGUUUGAACCACAGAGAAGGAAGAAAAGAGGAAGCAGUAGAUAGUAGUGAAGUAGUGAGGUUAGUGACAGACGUGAGGGAAAGGCGUGUGGAAGCACACGGUUACAUGUGGGGUCAAGAAGAUCACUCCCACUGGAGGUCAUUGAUCCAUCAGCCUCAGACUGCUGAGCUCAGCAGGUCUUCUGGAGGACGAGGCUUAGAUGAACUGAGGAGACGGGACCAGCAGGAUGUCAGGAUCAGGGCGGGUUUAGCUCAGGUGUGUCUACCCUCGACCAAACAGGAUCAGGUGAGGUUCAGCUCAGGUGCGUCUGCCCGGACCAAACAAAGACAUUGAUUAGGUUCAAUAUUCAAAAGAUGCAACAUUAUCUGAACCAAAGAUAAGUCAUUAAGGAGCAGGCAGGCUUUAGGGCGCCUUGCUCAAGGACGCAUCACUGUAUUCUGAGGACUUGAACCUGGCACCAUUGGUUUGAGAGUUGAACCCCCUACCUAGUCCACUAUGUCCAGAAAAUGCAAACUUAUGAGGAAUCCUUGAUGGUAGAGUCCUGGUGGUCCUCAGGAUUUGCCUUCCAGAUGUACGGCUUCUCCAUCAGUCCUCCAGAUUCCUGGUCUUGUUACAAACGUAAUUUGUCUCUAAUGUAAGGUAACAAACACAGUAGUAGUUGGGCUCUAAUGUAAGGUAACUAACACAGGAGUAGUUGGGCUCUAAUGCAAGGUAACAAACACAGGAGUAGUUUGUCUCUAAUAUCAGGUAACAAACACAGUAGUAGUUUGACUCUAAUGUAAGGUAACCAACACAGGAGUAGUUGGGCUCUAAUGCAAGGUAACAAACACAGGAGUAGUUUGUCUCUAAUAUCAGGUAACAAACACAGUAGUAGUUUGUCUCUAAUGUAAGGUCAAAAACACAGGAGUAGUUGGGCUCUAAUGGCGCGUAACAAAGUAGCAGCUGUAGUUUGUCUGGUAAACAACCACAAUAGUAUGCCGUAACUUGUACUGGACAAUCUAAUCCUGCGUUACAAUAAGUCCACUGUUUAUUUUAGGCAAACUUACGAGGAUCCUGGUUGGUGGAGUGAUGUCGUCCUCUUGGCUCGAGUCUUGGCUCCUCCAUCAGCUCUCCUCAGCCAGAGUCCUGGUCUGGAACAAACAGCGCGAGUCUGGCCCUAAAGUCUGGUUACAAACAUGUAUUUUGUUUUAUUUUUAAGCCCUUUAUUUCCAGUUUGUUUGGUUAAUACAAACGUACAAUCCUUGUUGGUAGAGUGAUGGUCAUCCUCCAGAUUCACGGCUCCCCUACCAGCUCGCCUCCGCUCUAGAAACACGUUUUAGAAUCCUUGUUGGUCGAUUCCUAGUCGUCCUCCAGCGUCUCAGCUCCUCCAGCAGCUCUCCUCAGACAGAGUCCUGGUCUGGAACAAACAGCGGAAGUCUUGCUUCAACAAGUGGUAAAACAGAUGUAGUCGUCUGGUAUAUAUGGUACAAACGCCGGGAGUUUGUGGUAGCAGUAUUCUACUAGAAGUGGCAGUGAGUGUGAUGAUCACUUCAGAGUCAGGCUCCAUCUACCCCACGACAGACGUCCUUCACCAGGCAGGGCCUCCACCAGCUCCUCCACAAGGCAGGGCCUUCAGCACGACUUUGGAUUUUAGUGUUUCAGAUGAGCUUG